rnacentral:rRNA from 1 species
AUGAAUUUUGACUUUAUUUGCAAAAUCUCUCUAGAAUUUAGUAAAAUGGGCAUAACUUUUGCAUACGAACUCAGAUUAAAAAGUUUUUUAUAUGAAAAAUCAUCUACUCGAAAAGUUACGGGCCUUUUAAGAUCUGGAGGCAAAAAUCAUCUACUCGGAUUAAAAAAAAUUUUAUAUGAAAAACCAUCUACUUGGAUUAAACAUUUUCAAAAUCCUCAAAAACCUAACAGAAAAAAAGUUACGGGCCUUUUAAUAUCUGGAGGCAAAAAAAUUCAAAAAAUAUCAGUUUUUUUUGAAUUUUUGUUAAAUCUGGUCAAACUAUGGUCAAACUACUUAUUCAAGAAGUAUUAG